rnacentral:rRNA from 1 species
UACGUAGGGUGCAAGCGUUAAUCGGAAUUACUGGGCGUAAAGCGUGCGCAGGCGGUUAUGCAAGACAGAUGUGAAAUCCCCGGGCUUAACCUGGGAACCGCAUUUGUGACUGCAUAGCUGGAGUACGGCAGAGGGGGAUGGAAUUCCGCGUGUAGCAGUGAAAUGUGUAGAUAUGCGGAGGAACACCGAUGGCGAAGGCAGUCCCCUGGGCCUGUACUGACGCUCAUGCACGAAAGCGUGGGGAGCAAACAGG